UACGUAGGGGGCAAGCGUUGUCCGGAUUUAUUGGGCUUAAAGGGUGCGUAGGCGGCUUUGUAAGUCAGUGGUGAAAUACUCUAGCUUAACUAGAGGGGUGCCAUUGAUACUGCGGAGCUUGAGUACAGAUGAGGUAGGCGGAAUUGACGGUGUAGCGGUGAAAUGCAUAGAUAUCGGCAAGAACACCGAUAGCGAAGGCAGCUUACUGGGCUGUAACUGACGCUGAUGCACGAAAGUGUGGGGAUCAAACAGG
rnacentral:rRNA from 1 species